AACACGUGACUAACCUACCCCGGUGUGGGGGAUAACGGGUCGAAAGACUCGCUAAUCCCGCAUACGAUCCGCCUCGGCGGAGGAAAGCCGUAAGGCGCACUGGGCGGGGGUCGCGUCCCAUUAGAUAGUUGGUGUGGUAAUGGCGCACCAAGUCGAUGAUGGGUCUCUGGUCUGAGAGGACGACCAGACAGAUUGGGACUGAGACACGGCCCAAACUCCUACGGGGGGCAGCAGCAAGGAAUUUUCGGCAAUGGGCGCAAGCCUGACCGAGCAACGCCGCGUGGAGGAUGACGGCUCUUGGGUUGUAAACUCCUUUUGGGGGGGACGAUAAUGACGGUACCCUCCGAAUCAGGCCCGGCUAACUACGUGCCAGCAGCCGCGGUAAUACGUAGGGGCCAAGCGUUGUCCGGAAUUACUGGGCGUAAAGCGUGGGUAGGUGGUCGGUGAUGUGCCGCGUGAAAGCGCCGGAGUAAUGCCGGCGAGGUCGCGGUAGACACACGGACUCGAGGCUCGCAGAGGAACGUGGAAUUCCCGGUGUAGUGGUGAAAUGCGUAGAUAUCGGGAGGAACACCAGUGGCGCAAGCGGCGUUCUGGGCGAGACCUGACACUGAGCCCCGACGGCGUGGGGAGCAAACAGGAUUAGAUACCCUGGUAGUCCACGCAGUAAACGAUGCAUACCAGGUGUGGGAUGGCGUUCGCGUCGUUCCGUGCCGCAGCUUACGCGAUGAGUAUGCCGCCUGGGGACUACGAGCGCAAGCUUAAAACUCAAAGGAAUUGACGGGGGCC
rnacentral:rRNA from 1 species